AUCUAAGAGCAAAAUCAAGAAUACAAAAAAUAUACAGUAACUACCCAAAGCAAAAUGAACCCCAAGCAUGGCAGCUAGCAGCUAUCAACAUAUAGCUCUGAAAUAUUAACAACAUAUAGCUACAACCUUCCCUCUCGGCUACAACUAUCAACAUCCCAAAACCAUAACACGGCAAUGUAAAAAAACAGAGUAUAAAUCAACAAAACAUCGUAUAAAAUCCAAGA